GCAAAAUGUCACUCAAUUCUUACUUCUUGGUUAGAAUCGAGGGAAUUUAAAUUAUCACAAGGACUUACUACAGUAAAGACGUCAUGGACAGAUAAAUCCCGAGUCAAUUUAAGCUCCCACAAAGUCAACACAUUUCCUACCAUUACCAAAGGGAGAAUUUCUAAAUUCCAUUGUACAUCUCAGAAUGCUGAAAUUUAAAUGUAAUUAAAAUUGUCAUGGGAAUGUGCAUCAUACAAUGGAAUUGCAUGAGAAGUUGGGAACUAGAUCAUUCCUCUCCAAGAAGGACAAAAAGAAGACUUCAUUUCUACCAAGAUUGAUUCAGUCUAACUGAGUGUGUUGGUAUGAGGAAAUCCCACCAGAGUCCGGACAAGGCGACCGUGUGUCCCCCUAUAUAUUGCAUCCCACCUGCAUGAGUGUCAGGUUUAAGGCAAACAACAGCAUUAACAAUCAUUAAAGACUGCACAAACAAACAGGUUUCUUUGAAGUUGUUUAUAGGUACGAGAAUUUGACACCAGUCUACCAGGGUCCAUCAUCGGGGCUAUGUUCG